UCAAGAUUAAGCCAUGCAUGUCUAAGUCCAAGCUGUGUUUACACGGCGAGACCGCGGACGGCUCAUUAAAUCAGUCGUUGUCCAAAUGGGCCAGUACCAAUUACUUGGAUAACUGUGGUAAUUCCAGAGCUAAUACAUGCAACUUAUACUCCGACGCGCGCUCUUCGGAGCCGCUGACGGGUGCUUUUAUUAGACCAAACUGCUGGGGCGUUUCCUUCGGGAUUCGCCUGAUUCGCUGUGUGGUGACUCUGGAUAACCUUUCUGACAAGCGCACGUACCUCCAUGCGGGGACGGCGCUGCCACUUUCGAGUGUCUGCCUUAUCAGCUGUCAACCGCUCGCUACACGCGACCGAUGGCUUUGACGGGUAACGGGGAAUCAGGGUUCGAUUCCGGAGAGGCAGCCUGAGAGACGGCUACCACGUCCAAGGAAGGAAGCAGGCA
rnacentral:rRNA from 1 species